UCCUCCUGCCACAGCCUCCCAAAGAAGCACAGACCAUCGCUAAGAGACACCAGAAACUGGUGCCAUUAUUAGGCCUUACUGAAAAGGAAAACUGAAGUACUCCCUGGUUGCUACCCACUGCCCAGCAUAUAGUGGAGGCUCACUGACAUUUGUCAAAUAAACAUCUAUGUACCUUUGGAUCAGAGGUGGAGCUCCAAGACAGCCUGGGAGGUGGACUGGAAGAUCCCUGGACUGAGACCAGGCAGAGGAUUGCUAAAUUGCAUGGAGCUGCUGGAGGCCAUUGUAGCCACCCGCCAGGAGACCCUCUGAGGAUGCAGCUCGGCAGAAGGAAGACCUGAGGGAUGGGGGUCACAUAUUGUGUUUCUUUUAAUUUUUGUGAUUUAAAAGAUUCCA